GACGAACGCUGGCGGCGUGCUUAACACAUGCAAGUCGAACGGAAAGGCCCUGCUUUUGUGGGGUGCUCGAUUGGCGAACGGGUGAGUAACACGUGAGUAACCUGCCCUUGACUUUGGGAUAACUUCAGGAAACUGGGGCUAAUACCGGAUAGGAGCUCCUGCUGCAUGGUGGUGGUUGGAAAGUUUCGGCGGUUGGGGAUGGACUCGCGGCUUAUCAGCUUGUUGGUGGGGUAGUGGCUUACCAAGGCUUUGACGGGUAGCCGGCCUGAGAGGGUGACCGGCCACAUUGGGACUGAGAUACGGCCCAGACUCCUACGGGAGGCAGCAGUGGGGAAUAUUGCACAAUGGGCGGAAGCCUGAUGCAGCAACGCCGCGUGCGGGAUGACGGCCUUCGGGUUGUAAACCGCUUUCGCCUGUGACGAAGCGUGAGUGACGGUAAUGGGUAAAGAAGCACCGGCUAACUACGUG
rnacentral:rRNA from 1 species